AUUCAUUAUACAUAUUUGUUAAAAGUUUACUUUGAAACUUCAACUUUGAGAAUAGACAAAUUUCUUGACGUCCUGUAAAUUCAGUGGUAUUAUAUAGCAUUUUAAAAUUUAUCACUUAGGUGCAAUUACAGUGUGAGGGGAAAAGUGAAGAGGAAAGGUGCUAAGGGGCCAUCAGGAAGAAGCCUAUGGCUUAGAUAAGGAUGGUAGACAAUGGAUCUCUGACAUCUGUAGCAGGACCCUGAACGUGAGCAUGAACAUGAAGUGGUAAGAGGCUGAUGGCAAGACCACAUUUCUGAAACUGGGAUCUUACGACAGUAUGGACCAAACAGUAAGGACACCCCUUCUUAGUGCUGACAUGAGUUAAGCCCUUUGGAAAUUUAGAUCCUCUUGAAUUUGAUAAACUAACUCUC
rnacentral:lncRNA from 1 species